rnacentral:tRNA from 1 species
GGGGAUGAAUGCAAAGCGUCGAGCGAUCAGUUUUUCAAGCUGAAUGUAGCGGGUUCGAGUCCCGCCUUCCCUGCCA